GGCAGUUCUUGGGUGACACACCCCAGAAUCGGGCUCUCUCCUCUCUGGUUCCGGAUGCUUCACCCGAGAACCACA
rfam:Myotis lucifugus cont2.14026, whole genome shotgun sequence.